UUCGCCUACGGGACGCAGCAGUGGGGGAUAUUGCACAAUGGGGGGAACCCUGAUGCAGCGACGCCGCGUGGGUGAAGAAGCGCCUCGGCGCGUAAAGCCCUGUCAGCAGGGAAGAAAAUGACGGUACCUGAAGAAGAAGCCCCGGCUAACUACGUGCCAGCAGCCGCGGUAAUACGUAGGGGGCAAGCGUUAUCCGGAUUUACUGGGUGUAAGGGGGGCGCAGACGGCGAUGCAAGCCAGGAGUGAAAGCCCGGGGCUCAACCCCGGCGAGCCGUUGAAACUGGCGGGCUGGAGUUGGAG
rnacentral:rRNA from 1 species